CACGUAGGGUGCGAGCGUUGUCCGGAAUUAUUGGGCGUAAAGAGCUCGUAGGCGGUGUGUCGCGUCGGCCGUGAAAACCUGCAGCUUAACUGUGGGCUUGCGGUCGAUACGGGCAUCACUGGAGUUCGGCAGGGGAGACUGGAAUUCCUGGUGUAGCGGUGAAAUGCGCAGAUAUCAGGAGGAACACCGGUGGCGAAGGCGGGUCUCUGGGCAUUAACUGACGCUGAGGAGCGAAAGCAUGGGGAGCGAACGGG
rnacentral:rRNA from 1 species